rnacentral:rRNA from 1 species
CACGCCCUAAACGAUGUCAACUAGGUGUUGGGUGGGUAAAACCAUUUAGUACCGGAGCUAACGCGUGAAGUUGACCGCCUGGGGAGUACGGCCGCAAGGUUAAAACUCAAAGGAAUUGACGGGGACCCGCACAAGCGGUGGAUGAUGUGGAUUAAUUCGAUGCAACGCGAAAAACCUUACCUACCCUUGACAUGUCUGGAAGCCCUUAGAGAUUUGGGUGUGCCCGAAAGGGAGCCAGAACACAGGUGC